rnacentral:lncRNA from 1 species
AGCACUGGGAGGAGGGCCAGGACGCGGCCUCCCGCCGAAAGCCUUAGCCUUCCUUCGCUUCCUCUCUUCCUCACUGUCCGACUCAUCGCCCUUCUCUCUGUCUGCAUUACUUGCUUCUCUCUCCAACUCUUCCCAUGUCUUUCCCUUCUCUUCCUCAGAGUCAGCUUCCGAGUCCUCUUCCUCUUCAUCUUCAGAUUCCACCAACGAUGCGCUGUCAGAAUCCUCUUCUUCCGAGACAGACUCCGGCUCCGAUCCUGAUGGCUGAUACCCCUGAUCAGACUCCUCUG